CCCUACGGGGGGCAGCAGUAGGGAAUCUUCCACAAUGGGCGAAAGCCUGAUGGAGCAACGCCGCGUGGGUGAAGAAGGUCUUCGGAUCGUAAAACCCUGUUGUUAGAGAAGAAAGUGCGUGAGAGUAACUGUUCACGUUUCGACGGUAUCUAACCAGAAAGCCACGGCUAACUACGUGCCAGCAACCGCGGUAAUACGUAGGUGGCAAGCGUUAUCCGGAUUUAUUGGGCGUAAAGGGAACGCAGGCGGUCUUUUAAGUCUGAUGUGAAAGCCUUCGGCUUAACCGGAGUAUGGCCUUGGAAACU
rnacentral:rRNA from 1 species